GAAGGAGCAGGAUUCUGAGAUGAUGGGGCCUGGGCUACCUGGUGCUUAGGAACUUUGGGGAGUUUGAGAUUACCCUCCUGGUGCUUGAAGCCAUGAACCUCAGCGGACCUGCUUUCCCUGGGUGCACCUGACACUCUUCACCCCCAACCAGAGCCGAACCGAGGGCCCACGUUUCCUCAGGCUUCAGCAACACUUGUGUGGAUGAGGUCCCAGCAACAGCAGCACCUAGGAUUCUACAGGCAGGUUACGACUGCCCAGAUGAUGUCCGCAAGACCUCCAACCUCUCCAGCUACAUCCGCAUGGCUCUAGGAGCCUCAUGUACAGACCUGAGAACAGUCUUCCUAGAUUCCUUGUCCAGGGAAGCUUGGCUUUUCUUUAGUGCCGGAUGCUGCUCCUGCUCCCACCCUGUGCUUGGCUCCAGAGCCGCCAUUUUCUGAGCUCUCAGCAGUAAACUUAAUAAAGAUUGAUAUCGGCGACA
rnacentral:lncRNA from 12 species